GGAGGAGCCGCCGGAGACCCGGCGCUGCGGCGCCCGAAAGCAGGUCCGCGCGGCUCCUGGCCCUCGCGUCCCUCUUUCUCGCUUAUUUUCCUCUCUCGUUCCUUCCUCCAGCCCCCCAACCGCGGCGGCGGCGGCGGUGGCGGUGACAGAAACGUCUGGAACACCCGGGCUGAGAGAACUGCCCGCCGAGCCGCCGCGGGCCCCGCCGCCGCUGGGCUCCUCUGGGCUCGUCUUCCUCUGAGCGCCCGCGGUGGGCUCGGGGCACCGGCCUUGGCCACCCACCCCCGCCCCCAGAGCCCGGCGGUCGUUGGAGGCCGGCUGUCCUUGGACAGAGGAAGUCGCUCUUCCGCUCGGAGAGAGACUGGCGAGGAGAGCAGAUGGGCGCUGUCCCCUGGCGAUGUCCCCGCAGCCGGGAGGAUGCUGUAGUUCCUCCGUCCUGGAGGAGCGCCGGAAAAGGAUCCCAGCCGAUUUCAGACAUUGGUUAUCCGUGUGAAGCCCAGUGAUCGAGAAGGAAAUCUGGUCAUAACCAGCUUUUGGUGGAGAAAAAAGGACCCCGGGGAGCUGUGAGACCUGGACAUCUCCCCAGGGCCAGCUUGUUUGGAGAGCCUCUGUCUUGCUGGUAGCUGCUGGACUAGGGCCUGGGCCCGAGAAGUUUGCUCUCUGGUGCUUUCUCUGGCGCCUGGAGAGCUGUCAUGAAGAGAAGCUCCUGGACCUUAAUAGACGUGGAUCUUGGUUGAUGUCUUUAUGGGGAAGCUGGCAAGGUGGGGGCUGUUGUCCUUCCAGUGCCACGGAUCAUAACUGAGAAAGGCAGAAACACUCCAGAUGUCCUCCAAUAGUUACCAAGUUUCAAUCCCGAUGUCAAAAAGGAACACCAAUGGCCUGCCGGGGUCCAGCUCCAAUGAGCUGAAGACGUCUGCUGGGGGAGCUGUGUUAAGCUUUCAUGACAUCUGCUAUCGAGUGAAAGUGAAGAGUGGCUUUCUUUUUUGUCGGAAAACGGUUGAGAAGGAAAUACUGACGAACAUCAAGUACGUCGUCCAUGAACUUUUACUGAAACAGGUUCAUUGUCGUGCAGUGCGCGUCUCAGGUUUUGCUUAGUGCAGAUCAAGGUACCGGUCUGCACAGGUAGACAGACACACGCUCUUCAUUGCUUUUGGCUAAACGAGCUGAGCGGUGAGCCAGUUGGAGGAGAUGUUGGGUGUAUGUACAUGUAAGACAACUGGAGCUUAGCUCACGUCUAAGAGACGGAAGAGAGUUUAGGACCCAAAGUAACACACUCGGUUGUCUUACAGAAUUCAAGUCCGUACAAAACUAUGAUUUUUCUUCCCGCCAUCCAGCAACUGACUCAUCACAUGGUGGUGGCGUGGGCGAUAGAGGGACCCCUGAGUGUGAGAAUAAGGAGAGGAAUGGGAGGUGAAAAGCUUUUAUCUUUUGCUGCAUAUGCCCAGACUAGCAUCGACCGACCUUUCUGAAAAGCUGCCAGGUUAUUUGUGGAGCAAAUAAUGAAGAAAAGUGCUGGUCACUUGAGAUGUUUUGCUGCUACAUGGAAGUUAGCAAAUGAUUUGCAAUAUGUGCAGGUUGAGUAAAUUGAAUAUAUUACUGCUCGAGGGUAUAUUUGUCUUGCUUAUGUUUUUUUUGUUUGUUUGUUUGUUUGUCUUUUUUGCCAUUUCUGGGGCCGCACCCGAGGCGUAUAGAGGUUCCCAGGCCAAGGGUCCAAUCAGAACUGCAGCCGCCGGCCUACACCACAGCCCACUGAGCAAGGACGGGGAUCGAACCUGCAACCUCAUGGUUCCUAGUUGGAUUCAUUACCCACUGAGCCACGAUGGGAACUCCCCUGCUUAUGUUUUAAAGCUAGUAGUGUGUUAACUUGCUAACACUAAAGGUGUCAUCUGCUCAAGGCUUUACAGUGUUUUUAUGGUUGAGUGGUAUGCAUUUCAGCAACAGGUGAGUUCAUCCUUACACGCUUUUCUAGGUUCAUAAAAACUCAGUCAAAUCUUGUAAUCAUUUCAAAUUUUAGUAAUUAAGAGGAUGCCAGGGGUUGUUUUUCUUGCUUACUCACAUUUCUGGUGUAGGCAGUGGUGUUUCUUUUUCCUAUUUGCUGGUUUCAACUGAGUUUGUCUAGGAUGGGCAAAGGGUGCUCUCAUUUAUCUUGUUUAUUUGUUUAUUUUUUUAGGAGUGCAACUGAGGCAUAUGGAAGUUCCCAGGCUAGAGGUCAAAUCAGAGCCACAGCCACACUGGAUCCAAGCCCUAUCUGCAACCUUCGUUGAAACUCAUGGCAAUGCUAGAUCCUUAACCCACUGAGCGAGGCCAGGAAUCGAACCUCCAUCCUCAUGGAUACUAGUUGGGUUUGUAACCCACUGAGCUAUAGCAGGAGCUCCGUCACUUUGUUUCUUUAUGUGCUCACUGCUGUUGAUAUUUUUCUGGACCAUGUGAGAACAGGCUGCCCAUAUGAUGCUCCAUUAUCACCACCUCCUCCAGUAAAUAUUUCUAGAGACAGGGACUCUCCCUUAUAUAACCACUCAGUCAUUGCCCGGGAGCAGUCCAGGGGUGGCCUCAGCCUGAACAUAGGGGCGGGUCCUGGGAGGCCGCUGCUCAGCCACGCUUCUCAACACGUUGUGUCUCUUCAGUCUCAUCCACGCUGUCGUUUUUCUGUCCCAUCCCUUAACCUUGAUUACCUGCCCAGGUUGGGGUCUGCCAGCCUUCUUUAGUAUAAUGUCACCAUCAUCCCCUUUGUAAUUGAUAAAUAUUAUGAAGGGAGAUACUCUAACAUUAUUCCAUUAUUCCAAAAUCCUAUUUCCAAAAAAAAAAAAAAAAAA
rnacentral:lncRNA from 1 species